GACGCGGCACUGCUUGGUCUGCAGCGUUAGUCUCCCCAGACCGGAAGCUCAGGAAAGCAGCGUGUACUCUGGGGUACAUCUCUAGUGCCCAGCCAGUACCUGGCAUAUGGCUUGCUCCAGAUUUGCCUAAUAAGCCACUGAAUAAUAAAUAUUGGUUGAACGAAGCUGUUGAAACUCCCUCGAUCCCCAAAUCUUUAAAAUAUUUCUAUUUCUUCCACGAUUCUGUUCACGCAUUCCUCUUCUCCCAUUUUCCCAGGAUCACUUCCACUGGUUCAUUUCUGCCUCUUCUUUCUUAUUCCCCCACACCCCCCAAAUUCAAUCAGCUCCUAAAUCUGACCAAUCUACCUUCCUGUCAGUCACAGCCGCCCUUCCAUUCCUGUGUCACCUGAGUUCACCUUAGUCCAAGUCUUCCUCAGCUGUCUCCUGGAUUCUUGUAGAAAUCUGGCUGCCAUCUCCCUCUCCCCUCUCCCCUCUCCCCUCUCCUCUUCUCCCCUCUCCCCUCUUCUCUUUUUUCUCUUCAGCCUGAGCAUCAUGACGUGGGCUUUUGCUCCAGACAGGCAUGGCUUUGGAUUCUGGUCUGCGCUCCAGGACGCUCUUCGGGCCUUUCCCGUCCAUCCCGUCAGCCUUCGCUGGACUCUGAUUCCUCUCUGCUGAAUUGUGCUCACCUUUUCAAGUCCAGCUCACAAGUGCAAAGACCCUCCUUGGUCAUAGAAAAUCAGAAGUUAAAGCAACAAGGGGCAAGAUAAACUUUCCAUCUUUUUGGCAUCUUUUUAUUUCUGAGUAUGUUAUUCACGAAUAAAGGAUUUAUCAAAUUC